rnacentral:rRNA from 1 species
AACGAACGCUGGCGGCAUGCCUAACACAUGCAAGUCGAACGAGACCUUCGGGUCUAGUGGCGCACGGGUGCGGAACGCGUGGGAACCUGCCCUUAGGUUCGGAAUAACUCCCCGAAAGGGGUGCUAAUACCGGAUAAUGUCUUCGGACCAAAGAUUUAUCGCCUUUGGAUGGGCCCGCGUUGGAUUAGCUAGUUGGUAGUGUAAAAGCCUACCAAGGCGACGAUCCAUAGCUGGUCUGAGAGGAUGAUCAGCCACGCUGGGACUGAGACACGGCCCAGACUCCUACGGGAGGCAGCAGUGGGGAAUAUUGGACAAUGGGCGAAAGCCUGAUCCAGCAAUGCCGCGUGAGUGAUGAAGGCCUUAGGGUUGUAAAGCUCUUUUACCCGGGAUGAUAAUGACAGUACCGGGAGAAUAAGCUCCGGCUAACUCCGUG